UACGUAGGGUGCAAGCGUUAAUCGGAAUUACUGGGCGUAAAGCGUGCGCAGGCGGUUAUAUAAGACAGUUGUGAAAUCCCCGGGCUCAACCUGGGAACUGCAUCUGUGACUGUAUAGCUAGAGUACGGUAGAGGGGGAUGGAAUUCCGCGUGUAGCAGUGAAAUGCGUAGAUAUGCGGAGGAACACCGAUGGCGAAGGCAAUCCCCUGGACCUGUACUGACGCUCAUGCACGAAAAGCGUGGGGAGCAAACAGG
rnacentral:rRNA from 1 species